UUGGUUCUCUGAUUUGGCUGUGUGUGGCUGCUUGCUAUUGCUCAUUAUUUUAGAAGAAUCAGUUGAUUUAUUGACCUUUAUUUGGUCUUAUUUAAAUUAUCUCCAGGUAUGUAACCAAAUUCUGGCUACGAAUAUGUGUUAUCAGCAGGAAUUAAUGUGUGAGUUCAUUAUUCUUCAUAUGUUCUUUUUAUGUGUUCCUGUUUGCAUCUGAGCAUGGAAAAAGGUUGUGAAAGUAACAUUAAUAUUUGUAUUUGUGACAAUAUUUAAGCUAGUUUAUGAUGCUUUCUUGCAAUCCUUCAUCUGAUUUCAAAAUACUGCCUCUUAUUUGUCUUGUAACUAUUUGUUCACAAGUUGUGGCCUGAUGGUUCAGUUACCAAUUGGCUGGACCACCAUAAUUUUCC
rnacentral:lncRNA from 1 species